GAGGCUGGUGGGCUCUCAGCAACAGUUUCUUUGUUAAUGCAAGAUCUGUGCGUCUCUGUUCUGUCUGUACACCCUGUCUGCGGGUGGGGGAGUCUCUGCUAAGGGUCCCACGAUUGCUCCCUGGCUCCAUCCGGAGCGGAAUAGCACAC